UACGUAGGGCGCAAGCGUUGUCCGGAAUCAUUGGGCGUAAAGCGCGCGUAGGCGGCCCGGUAAGUCCGCUGUAAAAGUCAAAGGCUCAACCUUUGAAUGUCAGUGGAUACUGCCGGGCUAGAGUCCGGAAGAGGCGAGUGGAACUCCUGGUGUAGCGGUGGAAUGCGCAGAUAUCAGGAAGAACACCAACGGCGAAGGCAGCUCGCUGGGACGGUACUGACGCUGAGACGCGAAAGCGUGGGGAGCGAACAGG
rnacentral:rRNA from 1 species